AGUGAACGCUGGCGGUAGGCCUAACACAUGCAAGUCGAACGGCAGCACAGUAAGAGCUUGCUCUUACGGGUGGCGAGUGGCGGACGGGUGAGGAAUACAUCGGAAUCUACUUUUUCGUGGGGGAUAACGUAGGGAAACUUACGCUAAUACCGCAUACGACCUACGGGUGAAAGCAGGGGAUCUUCGGACCUUGCGCGAUUGAAUGAGCCGAUGUCGGAUUGGCUAGUUGGCGGGGUAAAGGCCCACCAAGGCGACGAUCCGUAGCUGGUCUGAGAGGAUGAUCAGCCACACUGGAACUGAGACACGGUCCAGACUCCUACGGGAGGCAGCAGUGGGGAAUAUUGGACAAUGGGCGCAAGCCUGAUCCAGCCAUACCGCGUGGGUGAAGAAGGCCUUCGGGUUGUAAAGCCCUUUUGUUGGGAAAGAAAAGCAGCGGGUUAAUACCCCGCUGUUCUGACGGUACCCAAAGAAUAAGCACCGGCUAACUUCGUG
rnacentral:rRNA from 1 species